GUGAUGACAGCUAACGUGGCAGUGCAUGGGUGUACUAAUACAUUGAUGGGACUGUGUUGGUGAAGACAUCCUGUCUGCCUCUGGGCAUGUACUGAAGGGCAGCUGGCACAGUCAUCUCUGUGGUGUUUGUCAGAUGUGGGGGUGGGAGAGUAUAUCUCCUUGCGAGCAGCUGUUUGUAUAGUUCUUGAAUGGUGUGCUUGAGGAGGUCUGUUGAAUCUUGAAAGCUUACAGAUAUGGGAUUUUGCUUUUUUUUUUUUUUUUUUAUUUCUUUCCUGUCCCCAUUAGAGUGUAAACCCUAGGAGGAACCUGUCACAGGAAAGAGCUCCUUCUGGAACUGUUCAACCCUUGGUAGGCAACUUCUGUUUAAUUUGUUAAAGCUGAAACACAGUGUACAACACGGGACUUGACCAUAGCUGCUUUUGGCAAGGGGUGUUGUAACUGGCCUAAGAGAGCAGAUGGAAGCGUCUGCCUCGAGGGCAGGUGAGGAGGCCGAGGUGCCAUGGCAGGCUCUCCACAGAAGCGGUUGAGGAUUGGAGAAGAGGUUGCAGAUGAUCAAGGAGCGACACGUGCACGGAUGGCUUGAAAACGGUGAUUAGCUUCAGGUUCCAGGUGGGACCUAGUGGUAACUGAGUUGCAGAUAUUCCAUGAUAGAGCUCAUUCUGCCUGGGCUGCUUUUUGGGGUAAGCGCUUUGUUUUUCCUUCAGUCAGUUUCAGGGUUCUUUAGGUGGGUCAGAGUCUAUGGACUGAUGCGUUUUCCAGUAGAAACCGGUACGCAUAUCUUUUUGAGUUGGUAACUGGUAGGAUCUGUCACUGUAAAGCAAUCUAGUAGUAGUGUGUGCCUGUAUUGCACG